CAGUCGUCUUGUCCAAUGCCUGAAAGCCAAGGGAUCCUCGCACCUUCAAGGCAUAGAACUUGCGCAGGAGGACUGUCGCAGCCGAGCAGCUUUGCACGAGUGAGGAGUUGCAUGCUGCUGAAAAAACACCAUGCCACCGGGAUAGGUCAAGCACCAACACAUCGUGUCAUGCCAAAGUACAUCUAUUGAGGCAUUUAUAAGCAUGCGGCAGAGAGAAGGAAGGUCGAUGACCAGACUGUCGACAAACUUUUAGGGAAAAUUCAAAAUAGCGACAUAUCCGAUGCAGAUCUCUGAUGAUGAAUGUACGGAGCAAGACUUGGUGCAUACAACUGUGGCUACGAGUUCCACAGAAGCAAGUGCUGGAAAUUAUCCUGCGACUUUGCGCACACAAGACAGAGCUUCCAGAAGCAACAUUGAAGAAGCAUGUAGUGGAGUGGGUGACAAAAGCCUUCUGUCCUGGCCAGUGGCACGGAGUGCAGCUACCGACCAACAGCCGGAUCUCUCCCCAAAGACCCUCUGGCAUACUUGAGCCGGUAUUUCCUGCAGUGGGUUUUUCAAAAUGUUGCGACAUUUAAAAACGUGUACACGCUUCAGAAAGAUGGCAUUGAGCUCAGAACAAGCGAGCAAAGGAUGAAGUUUUUAUUUGGAAUCCUCAUGCUGAUGGGGGUUUUUAAAUAUUUGAGGAUUCGUAUGUAUUGGCAAGCAUCAACUAGGAUCCCUGUUAUAGCCGACUCCAAGACAGCUAAGAGGUUUUUAAAAAUUAGGGUUGCGCUGCACAUAACAGAGUUGAACGCUCCACAUGAUUCGACGAACCAGGACAAGUUC